AGGCAGGGUGUGUAAGCGUUGUGAGGCGUUGAGCUAACCUGUACUAAUUGCCCGUGAGGCUUAACCAUACAACACCCAAAGGGUUUUG
rnacentral:rRNA from 1 species